CUGAGGAAAGUUUGAGUCUGUGCAACUUUCAUUCAACUACUCCCCUUUUCAGGUUUACUCAAACAAAAUGAGACUUUACACCGUCCUGUUCCUUGUUGCCGUCUCCUUGACAAAACGAUUGAUGAAUCGAGAAAGUGUUAAACGGUAGAGGGACAGAAACUCUGCUGCUAGUAGAUGAGGUCCAUCCAUCCAUCCAUCGUCAACCACUUAUCCCGCGCACAGGGUCGUGGGGGGGCUGGAGCCAAUCCCAGCAUACGUCGGGCGAAAGGCGGGGUACACCCUGGACAGGUCGCCAGUCCAUCGCAGGGCUAGUAGAUGAGGUGCAUAACAAAAAAAAUCCUAAGGAGAAGUUAGUAUUUACAUUGACAGUGACAGACAAUUAAGAUGCA